rnacentral:rRNA from 1 species
CUUAACGCAAUUGGAUGUAGGGAGGAAACCUCCUCCGUACAUUUUCAUCUAUCCAUAACACCUGUGCACUGUUGGAUGCUUGCAUCCACUUUUAAACUAAACAUUGAUGUAACAAAUGUAGUCUUAUUAUAACAUAAUAAAACUUUUAACAACGGAUCUCUUGGCUCUCGCAUCGAUGAAGAACGCAGCGAAAUGCGAUAAGUAAUGUGAAUUGCAGAAUUCAGUGAAUCAUCGAAUCUUUGAACGCACCUUGCGCUCCUUGGUAUUCCGAGGAGCAUGCCUGUUUGAGUGUCAUGAAACUCUCAAAUCCAAGUUUUGUGAAUAUAUUCCAUUUCUUGGGUUUGGACUUGGGUGUUUGCCGGUGAUAAGCCGACUCGCCUUAAAAGAAUUAGCUGGAUCUGUCUUUACGACUGGUUUGACUUGGCAUAAUAAGUAUUUUGCUAAGGACAUCUUCGGAUGGCCAGUACCUUGACUAUUGUCUGCUAUCUAAACUAUCACUUGUGUGCCUCUCGGCCGCUCGUGUACUUUGACAUCUGGCCUCAAAUCAAGUAGGACUACCCGCUGAACUUAAGCAUAUCAAUAAGCGGAGGAA